rnacentral:rRNA from 1 species
AGAGUUUGUUCCUGGCUCAGGACGAACGCUGGCGGCGCGCCUAACACAUGCAAGUCGAACGAGCGAGAGAGAGCUUGCUUUCUCGAGCGAGUGGCGAACGGGUGAGUAACGCGUGAGGAACCUGCCUCAAAGAGGGGGACAACAGUUGGAAACGACUGCUAAUACCGCAUAAGCCCACAGGUCGGCAUCGACCAGAGGGAAAAGGAGCAAUCCGCUUUGAGAUGGCCUCGCGUCCGAUUAGCUAGUUGGUGAGGUAAUGGCCCACCAAGGCGACGAUCGGUAGCCGGACUGAGAGGUUGAACGGCCACAUUGGGACUGAGACACGGCCCAGACUCCUACGGGAGGCAGCAGUGGGGAAUAUUGCACAAUGGGGGAAACCCUGAUGCAGCGACGCCGCGUGGAGGAAGAAGGUCUUCGGAUUGUAAACUCCUGUUGUUGAGGAAGAUAAUGACGGUACUCAACAAGGAAGUGACGGCUAACUACGUGCCAGCAGCCGCGGUAAAACGUAGGUCACAAGCGUUGUCCGGAAUUACUGGGUGUAAAGGGAGCGCAGGCGGGAAGACAAGUUGGAAGUGAAAUCCAUGGGCUCAACCCAUGAACUGCUUUCAAAACUGUUUUUCUUGAGUAGUGCAGAGGUAGGCGGAAUUCCCGGUGUAGCGGUGGAAUGCGUAGAUAUCGGGAGGAACCCCAGUGGCGAAGGGCGGCCUACUGGGCACCAACUGACGCUGAGGCUCGAAAGUGUGGGUAGCAAACAGGAUUAGAUACCCUGGUAGUCCAACACUGUAAACGAUGAUUACUAGGUGUUGGAGGAUUGACCCCUUCAGUGCCGCAGUUAACACAAUAAGUAAUCCACCUGGGGAGUACGACCGCAAGGUUGAAACUCAAAGGAAUUGACGGGGGCCCGCACAAGCAGUGGAGUAUGUGGUUUAAUUCGACGCAACGCGAAGAACCUUACCAAGUCUUGACAUCCUGCGACGGACAUAGAAAUAUGUUUUUCCUUCGGGACGCAGAGACGGGUGGUGCAUGGUUGUCGUCAGCUCGUGUCGUGAGAUGUUGGGUUAAGUCCCGCAACGAGCGCAACCCUUAUGGUCAGUUACUACGCAAGAGGACUCUGGCCAGACUGCCGUUGACAAAUACGGAGGAAGGUGGGGAUGACGUCAAAUCAUCAUGCCCUUUAUGACUUGGGCUACACACGUACUACAAUGGCGUUAAACAAAGAGAAGCAAGACCGCGAGGUGGAGCAAAACUCAGAAACAACGUCCCAGUUCGGACUGCAGGCUGCAACUCGCCUGCACGAAGUCGGAAUUGCUAGUAAUCGCAGAUCAGCAUGCUGCGGUGAAUACGUUCCCGGGCCUUGCACUCACCGCCCGUCA